AGGCACAGGCUAAGAGAAGAACAUUUCCCCAGUGAGCUCAGUAGAGAUGUGACCACAAGAAGGCAGUGCACCUGUGCUGAUGCAGAACACGUGGAGGGUUCAUUUUAGUGCAUCUGAUUGACUAGGCUAUGGCAGAAGCAGAGUCUUUUUCUUAUUGGCUGGUAGACAAUGUGGGAAAGUACUCUGUUAGAGGAAAGAAGGGACUGCCUGACAAGAAAAGGAGCUGAGCUGGCUGGAGGCUGCAAUUCUGAAGCUGAUCUUAACGGGAGGAACCAUGAAGACAUCCAUGGGACCUUUAAUCAUAUUCUCAUGGCUGCAGCUGAACUGGUUCAGCCAAGGAGAGAAGGUGGAGCAGCAUCCUUCUACCCUGAGUGUGCAGCAGGGAAGCAGCUCUGUUAUCAACUGCAGUUAUUCAGACAGUCUCUCAGACUACUUCCCUUGGUAUAAGCAAGAGUUUGGAAAAGGUCCCCAGCUCCUUAUAGACAUUCGUUCAACCAUGGCCACAAAAGAACACCAAAGAUUCACUGUUUUAUUGAAUAGGACAGCCAAACAUCUCUCCCUGCACAUCGCAGACACCCAGCCUGAAGACUCAGCUGUGUACUUCUGCGCAGCAAGCACACAUUGCUUCCCAGGCACCUGCUGCCUGCACUCAAACCUGGGUGUGGGGCAGCCCCCUGUCCUUUGACACAGACCUUCAAGUAUAGCUUUUGUGCUGUUGUUUGUCUGCAAAUGGAAACUAAUGUGUUAGACGUUAAAGGCAUAUAAUAAGACUAUUAGGAUGGAGAUGACCCAGACAGGGUUAGAACAUUUUGUUGGAUGACUGUUUUUUAAUGGAUUCUUGAAUGGAGCUAGUAAUGUUUUAUUUUGAAAUUCAGGUUUUAAAGAACUAUACAUUUGCCAUUGAGAUUCCUGUCCUUUAAAUAACCCCCGGUACCAAUAUACAGUCCUUUUUAUGGAUGGGCACUUAAAUAUUGUGUUUCAAAAGUAGCAUUUUUAAUUUUUGUGAUCUAAAUAUUUCAUGCCAAAUAUAGAAAUAUGGAAAGUACAAAUAUGAAAGUGAUAAUUCUGUAAUAUAUAAUGUUGCUAAUAUUCUUUUGGUCUCUAAAUGUUU